rnacentral:lncRNA from 1 species
AUGCUAUGUAGAUUUGUAGCCACAGAAGAAGAGGAUACCACCUGGUGUUUUGCUUCCAGAACAGUUUCUAAAGUCUCAUUUUGCCAUUCUGGGACAUCAUUCUACAGUGUGGAAAGAAAGAAAAAAGAAGAGAUCCCACGAUUAUUUGUGCUUCUAAGCCUUCAGUUGCAUAAUAGUAAAGGAGUUAGAGAUGCAGAGCUGGGAGAAGGAAAGUCCAUUCCACUGAAAACAAAGAUCGGAUUCAUGACCACCUGAGGAACCUGAACACCAACAAGUCUGUGGGUCCUGAUUAGAUGCAUCCCAGAUUCCUGAGGGAACUAGCUGAUGUAGUUGCCAAGCCACUCUCAAUUAUAUUUGCAAACUUGUGGUGAUCAGGUGAAGUCUCCUGGAUACUUUCAAGAUGAGAUGCCCAGGACCAGGCCCUUCACAACCUGAUCUAGUUGUGGUGUCCCUGUUCAUUGCAGGGGAGAUGGACUGGAUGGCCUUUAAAGGUCCUUCCGAGCUCUAAGAAUUCUAUAAUUCUAUGAUUCUUUGUAUGUCACCUGCAUGUGACACUUGAGUCAAGCCCUGUGAGUGUGUAUGAGGUAUUCAUAUGCACUAUGUUAGGAAAGUGGCUUUGCUCUAACAUUUCUAGGGGAAAAAAGGAUAUCAGCUGCUGUACUAGGCCUUGCAUGGAGAAUAAUUAAGAAAAUGGUAAGAUUUGUGGGUGUUAGUUAAAACUUAAAUUUACAAUGACUGUGCAUAUAAUGUUGUACAAACCAGCUUUUAUGAUUAAUGUGCUUAAAAUAUAAUUAUCUACCAUGCAUUUUUUAUGUGCCUGCGAUUUAUAGACCUCACUGAAGAUGACAAAAAUAUAUUCUGUGCCUACUCAGGUAUGUUAGGAAUAGCUGUCUUCUAUCUUUUCUUAAGAUAUUUUUGGACUUGCACACACAAGCAUACAUUCACACAAAUGAGCAUUAUACACCUGAGGAUAGAUUUGGCUUUAUUUUAUU